GGGUUGGUUUAAAUCCUUUGGGAUAAGGUAUCAUGGAGGGUGAGAAUCCCGUGUAUAUCAACCGCUGGGAUGUUAUUAAUACGUUCUCUAAGAGUCGAGUUGUUUGGGAAUGCAGCUCUAAAUGGGUGGUAAAUUUCACCUAAUGCUAAAUAUAAGCGAGAGACCGAUAGCGAACAAGUACCGUGAGGGAAAGAUGAAAAGAACUUUGAAAAGAGAGUUAAAUAGUACGUGAAAUUGUUGAAAGGGAAACGAUUGAAGUCAGUCAUGCCGGUGAGAAUCAACUUUAGGGAAGGGGGAUUUUUUUGAACCUAACCUUGAAGUGCACUUCUUCGCUUGGCAGGUUAGCGUCGAUUUUGAACGUCAUAAAAUGAUUGGGGGAAGGUAGCUCUUUCGGGAGUGUUAUAGCCCUUAAUUAAUGUGAUAUUUGGGAUCGAGGAUUGCAACGGGUACCUUUUUAGGCUAGCCGCCUGGCCUCUGAUUCGAUGUCGGGUUAUAGACAGCAUGCUGACUAUGAUCUGAUUAUUGGUCAAAAGGUUAGAGCGAGCAUAAAUUCGUUAAGGACGCUGACGUAAUGGCUUUAAACGACCCGUCUUGAAACACGGACCAAGGAGUCUAACAUGUAUGCGAGUGUUAGGGUAAUUAAACCCAGACGCGAAAUGAAAGUGAACGUAGGUGGGAGCCUUUACUGGUGCACCAUCGACC
rnacentral:rRNA from 1 species